rnacentral:rRNA from 1 species
GAUGAACGCUGGCGGCGUGCCUAAUACAUGCAAGUCGAGCGAAUGGAUUAAGAGCUUGCUCUUAUGAAGUUAGCGGCGGACGGGUGAGUAACACGUGGGUAACCUGCCCUUGACUCUGGGAUAACUGCGGGAAACUGUAGCUAAUACCGGAUACGACCCUCGGCGGCAUCGCCAGGGGGUGGAAAGAAUUCCGGUCAAGGAUGGACUCGCGGCCUAUCAGCUAGUUGGUGAGGUAACGACUCACCAAGGCGACGACGGGUAGCCGGCCUGAGAGGGUGACCGGCCACACUGGGACUGAGACACGGCCCAGACUCCUACGGGAGGCAGCAGUGGGGAAUAUUGCACAAUGGGCGCAAGCCUGAUGCAGCAACGCCGCGUGAGGGAUGACGGCCUUCGGGUUGUAAACCUCUUUUAGUAGGGAAGAAGCGAAAGUGACGGUACCUGCAGAAAAAGCACCGGCUAACUACGUGCCAGCAGCCGCCGUAA